UAAGUGCAUGAUUUGCUAAUUUUGUUAAAAAAAUAGUAAAAAUUCUAAUCUUCAUUUGUAUUGUUUCCUAUAUAAAAAAGCAAACCAUUAGCAAUUAUAGUCCUAUUUCUUAGUCAUAUACUGUCAAUCAGCUAUCUUGAAGAUGGAACUGGGAAACCAGAACUUAUAUUCAACAUGAUAAGGAAAUUUGAAUUCAUUUUAUAUACUAUAAAGUUUAUAAAAGUUAUUAAUAAGUAACCAUAAGAAUGGAUUAAAAAAUAUUUAAAGCAUACCAAUUGACAGAUUUGUAAAUAUCAUUGAAAAAGUCAGAGAUAACUUGGCCGAGAUAUCUAUAGCACCUUUACACUUUAAAAUUUUAAUAUCAAUAUGCCUUCUUAUGAGUUAUGUGUUUGCAUAUUGACUGUGUUCAAAUUUGUUAUUUCAAAUUCCCCUUUGUUUAGGACUCUUGAAAGCACACAGGACUAACUGAGUUAGGGCAAUGGGCUUCCAGUGCCCUCUUGGCUGUCACCUUAUUUAAUAAGGCCUGGCUUGUGCAGUCACUAGUUGGAUUGGAUUAUGUUCUUCCUGACAUUUCCAUUCACUCUGUUGCCCAGCCCUAAAUAUGUUAAGCAAGAUGAGCUAUCCUGGGGCCAGGAUGAUUUUCCUUCAAAAGCAUCCUCAUCAGAUUUAAAUAUUUACUGCUUUCCCCCAUAUCAAAGUCAAUUAAAUAACUUCUCAUACAAUUUAUGAAAGCCAAAAAGCAAUCUAGAAAGGAACACAUCCAAACCCAUUGACUCCAUUGUAGAAAGAGAAAUGAAAACGUGGGUUUCACUGGAGUGUUCUGGCAUGGAAGUAGUGUCUCUUGUUGACUUUAGGAAUCCUGGAAUGUGGCCCUAGGAAGGAAAACCCUUGAACAUUAAGGGGCCCCUUAAUGAAUUUCUCUAUUUCUCUAUGAUCUUUCUUUAGUUCCAUAGCCCCCACCUAAGUAGAGGGUGAGGUCAGAGGGAAUAAAGAAAGACAUAAAGCAAAUUAUGCUGUCGGCUAUCCAAAUUGUACAACCUUAUUCAUGCUGAUUAUGUAUUGCAGGCAUAUGCAAAAAUAAGUUUGCAUAUCCUGAGCAUAUCCGACCUCACCUUUGUUGUGAAUAAAUCACAGACUGUCCUGGAUUCCAGAAGAGUUCCAACCAGUGAAGCUGGCAUUCCAGGAGAAUCCUCUGAUUCUUUUGGCAAAACUGAGUCAAGAACAUAUUGCCAGUUCUUCCUGGGCUCAACUAAAUGUGGAUUCCAUUCACAAUCACUUUUGCUUUGCAUGUUGUGUACGCUUAUGACCAUCAUGUUUAUCAGCAGUUCCAGAGGGCAGCUGCGAGGUUGCUUCCAAAUAUUGCAAUAUGAUUCCAUAAUGUUUUGUAGAAUUUGGAAUCCAUUAUUCUCAUAUUCAAGGACAGGUUUCAGAUUUCAGCAUUGAAAGAUGUCUUCCCAGUUCUUUCAUUGCUUUCAGGGUGCUCAGCUCACAUGGCCUGAGACAGGAAUUGUGCAGCCUCCACAGCCACCUAAACUAUAGACUUUCUAGAGGACUCUACAAAAGCCUGUUUCAUGUGCAGCAUGGUGGAAGAAUACAGUUAACUUUUUCAAUACUAGAACCAUAAAAAUCACUGAAACUAUAUUACCUUUUUGUUUAUCCUAAAAGAGACAAAUAUUCACCCUAUCUAGAAACACAGAACAUCUUCAAAUGCACCUCUGCGUUGUUGAAAAAGGCAUGUUUUGGGGAACUUUAAAGGUGUUGAAUAAUGAAGAAUUCUUUUAUUUAUUCCUUUGAUAAUUCUACUAAAAGUGCAUUUUUUAACAAGAAGACAGUUUCUUUGUUCUUUGUUCAUUAACAUUGCUGUAUUCAACAUAACUUUGAAUCAAAUUAUCCCUUUCACAAAACUGCUCACGUUGUUUCCUGUUCCUUGGCACGAUGAAGCCAUGCAUAUGUAUGACGCGUCACCAAGUGUCAUUUUAGGAAAGACCCUGUUAGUGUGCCUAUGGAGAGAAGCAGAGUUAGAGUAUUGUAGCCAUGGAAGCCACUUUACUUUGCAGCCUUUAGCUUCCUGGAGGGAAUCUGGUGAUGGGAAAGGAAUUCCAUUUUGCAUACUACAUUGUUAGCGUGCAAAUGCUCCACUUAUUUAUAUCAUUCAAUUCAAUCUGGACAUCUUACUUUAAAAAUGUAUAUCUCAGUCCCUCUUUGAAGAAAAAUAUGAUGAAAAUAUAUGAAUUAGAGCUCACAAUUUUACAUUAUUUGUAGAUCAUAAUAACGAUCUUGGCAUUUGUAUUUACCUUACAUAGAGAUGGGAAAACAUUUUGGAAGGUUUUUUGGAGCAAUAGGAGAGGGGAAUGAAAUAUCCCAUUAAAACAGGAAGGACAUUGCUGUCACCUAAUCAGACAGCCUCAGGACUACCAGCAGAUGGUGCAACAACCUAUUUAAUCCUCAGCAUUAUCAGAAAAUAACCAAGAAUGGCAUCUUUCUUUGCUAAUUAAUUCUGAAUACUCCUAAAAAAUUAUGACUUUAAUGAUAAUAGCAUUUAAAACGAUAACCAUAGAAUCUGUAAUAAUUUUUUAAUAAUUAUACAUAAUAUCUGACUUUUUGAACUAAAAGAGACUUUAGAACUCUCUGGUCCAAGCCUUCUGUUUAACAGCUGAGGAAACUCAAGUUCUUAAGUUUAAACUUCAACCACCAGCUAAGGAGGGUCGUGAUGAGUCUUGGUCAUAUGACAGAACCCAUCGCUCAUUGAUUCAGCAACAUUAUCCCUCAGCAAAUACGAUUUCUAGCCCAAUAAUCAAAAUUUGAUGGGGUGGCGGAUGGCAUUUGAUCAUCCAAGUUAAGAUUUUUCAGCAGAUGUUUAUCUGUGGAGACUCUUCUAUUGUAAGAACAUUCAUAGUUUUAGAAAAGAGGCAUUUUCUGGGAGAACAUGCUCUCCUGUCCUCUCUGUUUCCAGCUGCAAACUAACGUGUCAUUUUGCCAAAUGCUUCCUGUCUAGCUUCUGGCUAUUUCUGAGAGAGAGAGAGAAGGUGGGGGCAGGGGGAGAAAGAGAGAGAGAGAGAGAGAUUUUUUUUUACACAUUUGCUUUGUACUAGGAAAAUAUUUCUUAUACAGUCAACAAUAGCAUAUUAAUGGGGAUGAUUUAAGGAGCCCAAGCUUCUAUUCUGUUGCCAGAAUGCCAACGGGAAUGUAUGCUACUUUUCAAAAAAUAGGUGUUGACAAUAGCCUGCAGUAUUGCACUGUAGUCAAAGAAGAGUGCUGAAAGCUUCAGUUCAUAAAAAUGCUUGAUUCAUCAAAAAUAAUCACCUCACCUGAUAAUUGAAAGCUACAGAGAAUUAUUAUGCAGCCGUGGACUCUCAAAAAUUUAUUCAUUUUUGGUAAUUAACAUUAUUUCUUCUUGAUGAUGUUGCUAAAUGGCUUGAACCCAGUCUGAAGAACCAUGCAUGAUCAUUUAUGCUGAAAAGAAAAGAAAUUAGAAGCUUUUGUUGCACAGAAUGGUGGAUAAAGAUUGCGAAUUUGCACAGCUAUAAAGCUUACUAAUUAAAGACUACAAACACAAAGAGAGCAAGCCUUGUGAUGACUGCACAAUAACGAGGAUUCAGAUACAACGUGGUCGCCACCUGACGCCCACCUCCACAAAAAGCCAUUCUCAAAAGGAGAGAGACAUUCAUAUCCAGAAGAGGGAGUCGGCUGUAGGGUAGAGAUGUUCGUCUGAAGAUUUCAAAGCCCACUGCUGAUUUAAGGUCAUUCACAUUCAGCCAUGAAGCUGCUCUGAAGACACAGGAACUGCAUAGCUCCCUACUGGGAAUGUCAAGGGCUGUGAAAGGUCUAAGGUUUUAUCCUACUUGCAACCAACAAGCUAUGCAGCCACAGUUUUAUGGAUGCUGUCAAAAGACAUGACACUCCUGGCAUGCAGUUUAGGCUGCUAACAACAGCAUGAGGGCAACCUGCUGUGGUGACCUAAGCUAUGACACCCCACCCCAAGUCCGGGAUGCAGCUAACUGAGCAAACUGCAUGAACUGGGAGGCGGCCGACCAUUGUUCACGCCUCUCCUUCGCGUAUGUGUUUUCUACUGUUCUUGCACUGUAAAGGCAGAGGUUGCAUCGGGCCCUUAUGCAAAGCCCCAAAUAAUUACUGGCUGACUCUUCUCAGGGAACAUUUGCUAACCCUGUCACAAGCCAUAAGGUUCCACCACAGAUUGCCCUGUGGCUCUCUCGUUACGUUUCUGUGUGGACGUUUCCACAUGGUCUGAGGCAUUCAUCCAAGAAGAGCAGGAUGUAUUAGUGACUGCACAGAUUCUGCCUUGGCCCACAAAGAGGACAUCCAGGGCAGUCCUGGUCAUCUGUAAUAACAUUGCCCAGUGAGUUGAGGCUGACCUGAGUACUGACUUGGGUUGAGUUGGUGUCACUGAUCACUUCAGCCAAAGAUGGGACAUUUCUUAGCACCUGUUCUGAUUGGCUGACUUCUAUGGUCAGGAUAACGGCUCUCAGGAUGCGUAUAACUGCCAAGUCUCUCCGGGAAGCUUCCCUGGGUUACCAAGGAAUCCUCAUGUCUGAGAGAGCUCCACCAUCAUCCAAGGGCCACACGGAGUUUCUUGCAAUGCUUCAAGGUCUCCUGUAAUAACUCCUAUGAUAGAAGUCACUGUGUUUUGGGGAGGUAGACUGCAGCAUGCAGUUUUGACAGCAUGACCAAGGUCAUUGUUCAGGUCUGAUUAUUCAAAUUCAAAAAACUGCAACCUCAGGCAUAAAAGAUUAAGGAUGGAGCCCAAGUCUCUGGGUCCCCAAGGGGGACUGAAGCACAUACUCACCCAUCUGAAUAUGCUGGAGAACAGGAAGGAGAGACUCAAGCUUGUCUGGGUCUGUUGGAUACAGACUCUCCCAUCUCCACCCCAUCAGGUCCUAUGGAGGCCCAAGUUCAGCUGAUGAAGUUAAGGGAGUGCUCAGUGCAGAAGGGUGGGAGGGCACUUGGGGCAUUUUGGGGUCCUGUUUUUGUUGCUUCUGCAUCUGAUACAGCAGGAAUUGAAGUAUUGCACACUUGUCCUUCCCAUUUCCAAGUGCUGCCUUCCCAUCAGUAAGAGCCACAGUUAGAGAGGGACCAACAGGAGGAUAACUCCCACAUGCUUAGCAUUCCAAUAAUGGAACACUAGGCAUAAAUUGAUAAGAUGCUUUCAAUGCAAUCAGUACUCUGCCAGGAUUCACUAAGUAGAGAAUGACUAAAUAUUUACCCAUCUCCUAACAAAAAUGCACAACUGAGGACAGAUGUUUUGCACUUUUAUGUGUCUACGGACUGUGUAAGAGGAUUUGGCUGGGUCAUCAUCUUCUUCUUCUUCUUAGACUGGUUGAUGGUGACCGUUCAUUGAUCCAAUAUGGUAAAGUCAUGUCCUGGUCUGUGUUCUUCGGGGUCCACAACCCUCUUUAACAGCCUGUUGUAAGGUUCUCGACCACGUCACUGUCUAGCUAAACCAUUCUGCAUUUCAGUAGGUAAACCAGCAGGAGGGCUUAAAAACCACAUUGCCCUGUCCACAUCCCUAUUUCUGAUUCUUUUCUGGCCUGCGAUCCUACAUCUCUAUCCUCACUUUAAACUGUUUUCCUCUUUUCUUCUCCUUUUUCCUGACCUCCUUUAUGUUUUUCAUUUCUCCUCCAUCUGAAUAUACCAAACCAUCCUUUUGCUUCCUCUUUUCUCUUCAUUAAUUAUUCUAGGGGCUAUUUUUUUUAUUAGGAAGAUGUAUUAUUUUAACAUGCUUUAUAAAGUUAGUGGCAUUAAGGAAUUAAUGUCCUUGGAAACUCAUACAUGUUCAGCUUCUAGAAACCCCUGAUUCCAAGGAGCAAAAACAUGCCAUCUCUGACAGUGUCCACAAGAACAAUACCAGAUCAGACGAUAAAGCCAACACACAGCAUAGCCAAUGGCCACACAUCCAGAAAACACUCUCAACAAAUUUAACCCUUCAGUAUUCACUGUAGCCAAUAUAUAUUCAAUAUAUAUAGCUGACUUUGUUUUUAUAUUUGAUGAAGUCCUGCUAUUUGAAAUAAAAUAAUCAAACCAACAACAACAACAACAAAAACCCCAUACAUGGUGAUAGCAUAUGUGAGGCAGUAGCAAUUUCUCCAUCUUUUCUGUCCUGUCUUUCCUGUUCUUCGUUCCCAUGCUAAGAAGGGAUGGAUAUAUCUCGGAGAUUACACAGGUUCUAGUCAAAGACUUCAUUGUGAACGUUUGUUUCACAUUUUCCCUGGAUAAGGACUAAUUAAAAGUUUGGAAAAGUAUACCUUUUUUUUUUUUUUUUUUUGCAAACUUACCCAUAUUAUGUGCUUUUUCUUGAUACAGCUGCUAAUCUUUGCUGUAUAUGUAGUGUUAGGAAGUCUACUUUAAUACACACACACACGUUUAAUGAGGUAAAAUAUGCAUAACAUAAUUACCAUUUUAACAAUUUUUAAGUGUAGAGUUCAGGGGCAAGUACGUUCAUGUUCUUGUGCAACUAUCACCACCAUUUUUUCUCCAGAACCCUUUUUAUCAUCUCAAACUGAAACUCUGCACCCACUGAACAAUAACUCCCCGUUCUCUCCUCCUCCUAGACCCUGGUAACCCCUCAUCUAUUUUCUGUCUCUGUGUAUUUGACUAUUCUAGGUACCACAUUAACGUGGACUUACACAGUAUUCGUCCUUUUGUGACUGGCUUAGUUUAUUUAGCAUAAGAUCCCCAAGGUUCAGCCGGGUGCCGUGGCUCAUGCCUGAAAUCCAAGCACUUUGGGAGGCCAAGGUGGGUGGAUCACCUGAGGUCAGGAGAUUGAGACCAGCCUGGCCAACACGGUGAAACCUCAUCUCUACUAAAAUACAAAAAUUAGCUGGGCCUGGUGGCGGGCGCCUGUAAUCCUAGCUACUAGGUAGGCUGAGGCAGGAGAUUAGCUUGAACCUGGGAGGCGGAGGUUGCAGUGAGCAGAGAUGGGACCACUCCACUCCAGCUUGGGCAACAGAGCAAGACCCUGUCUCAAAAAAAAAAAAUUCAAGGUUCAUCCAUGCUGUGGCAUGUGUCAUAAUUUCAUUUCUUCAUAUUCCUGAAAUACAUUUCUAAAUAUAAAUUUUUCAUUACUGUUUUCAUUUCAAGUUAAGUUUAUCAGAUCCUGUAGUCCAGGGACUUCAGUCUCUUUGAAUUAUGUCUUUCUUGGACAAUUUGGGAGCUCUUUUGAGAAACUGAAUACAAUUUGAAUACACUAAAAUCUGAAUCACACCAUAGAUAACGACAUAGUGUCUUAGUGAGAAGAAAUUUGAUUCUGCUGACUAGGAUACUAAAGUUUGACCUUUAUGGUCAUCUCUUAAUAAAAUAAAAGGAGAGCACUGGGCUAUUAAAUAGUUUAUUCAUGGAUCAUAGGGUGAAUAAGACCUAGAUCCUAGAGGAAAUCCUCCCCACAAAGACACUCAGACUUUUAUUCCUGUCAAUGUUCUUGUGGAUUUCAGGGAGCAAUGAUGGCUAUAAAUCUGCAACUCAUAGCAUUUCAGGCUAAACACAUUCAGCCUUUAUUACCAUUGUUCAUUUGACCUCUUUAUCCAAUUUUUUUCCCACCCACUUGCCAAUAUCACCUUGUUCUUAUGUAGGCUGUGUUUCAGCCAGCUUAAGCCUUACUAACAAAUGAGGUGAAAUCCAUCUGAGGAGGAAGCCGGGGCAUGGUGGAUUGAAAUAGCUUGCCUCAGGAGCAGAAAAUUUGGUGUGGAUCAAGAAAUAGAACUCCAAAGUAUACCUUUCCAGUCAUUGGCUUUAGCUGGAGCCAGCAUCCUUCAAUGAAUCAGUCAACAUUUACCUAUCUGUUCCCCACAGCAGUUUUGCAAAUCGCUUUCAGAAAUCAUUGAACCACUAACAGUUUAUCCACUCUGCAAAAUAUACACAGCUCUUCCCAUAUCCAGGAGGGUUAUCCCUUCUCAGCUGCGUUCAACACUUUUUACAACCCCUGAUUUCAAUAAGCAGAAUACAUCCACCUGCUUAGGGAAAUUACUCUUACCAUAUAAUUGCCUCUUAUGUUGAAAUGUCCAUGAGACCCUCUCAUGAAAUAGGGGACAAGAUAAAGCACAGAUUUUCCCCCAACUCAAACAUGCCUGUCUCAUACAUGUCAUGCCCUUGGAAAUGGCCAACACUGCUCUCUGCCUCCUGUUUAGGGUUAAGGCUUUCACUAUCUCUUGCCACCUCUGAUGAAAUUACUAACAAAUAUAUUAUCCUUACCCUUUGUCUUCUAUUCCAGCACUUCAAAUGCAUCAAAGGUCCAGAGAGAAGCUUCUUCUGGUCACCUUGAUCUUGUGAUGCAAGGCAGGUGGGAGCAAGGGCUCCACCUCUGCAGACACAGAGAUGACGGGGUCGCCAUGCCGGCGUUUUAGUCCCGGUUUCCUCUGCUCGAGUAGUUGGUGGCCUCCUGCCUGUUCCCUAACAUAACUUCACUUUCCUUACCUGCAAAACGAAAUUAGUAUUUCCUCCCUCACAAGGCACAAAAAUAGUCAUACAAAAAAUACCACAAAAGGUAAUAACAAAGUGGAAGAAGACAUAGGAACAGAGAACAAACCAACACAUAGAAAAAGUAACAAACAUGGUAGAUACGAAUCCAGCUAUAUCAAUAAUCGCGUUAAACAUCAAUGGUCUUAAAUAUACUAGACAGUGGAAUAUUAUUCAGCAUUGAAAAGAAAUGACCUAUCAAGCCAUGAAAGACAAGGAGGAACCUUAAAUGCAUGUUACUGAGUGAAAGAAGCCAAUCUGAAAAGGCUGCAUCCUGCAGGAUUCUGACUCUAUGACAUUCUGGAAAAGGUAAAACUACUAAGACAGUGAAAAGAUCAGUAGCUGCCAGGGGUUACGGGAAGGGGAUGAUGAAUAAGUGGGGCACAGCAUUUUGAGGAGGUGAAACUACUCUGUAGGAUACUGUAACAGUAAAUCCAUGUCAUUAUAUGUUUGUACACACCCAUAGAACACCAGGAGGACAGCACCAAGAGGGAGCCCUAGUGUGAACUGUGGACUCUGGUUGGUAAUGAUGUGCCUGUGAAGCUUCAUUGUUUGCAGCAAAUGCAUCAGUGUGGUGGGGGAUGUUUCUAAAUUGAUAAUGAAGGACGCCAUAGGUGUAUGGGGGCAGAGAGUUUAUGAGAAAUCUGUACCUUUUGCUCAAUUUUACUGAACAUAAAACUGCUGAAGCCAUCAUUCUCAGCAAACUAACCCAGGAGCAGAAAACCAAACGCCGCAUGUUCUCACUCAUAAGUGGGAGUUGAACAAUGAGAACACAUGGACACAGGGAGGGGAACAUCGUCACACACCGGAGCCUGUCGCAGGGUGGGGAGCUGGGGGAGGGAGAGCAUUAAGACAAAUACCUAAUGCAUGUGGGGCUUAAAACCUAGAUGAUAGGUUGAUAGGUGCAGCAAACCACCAUGGCACAUGUAUACCUAUGUAACAAACCUGCACAUUCUGCACAUGUAUCCCAGAACUUAAAGUAAAAUAUAUUAAAAAAAUUAAAGUCUAUUUUAAAAAAAGAAAAACAAUCAGCUAACCUACUUUGGUAGCUCUGUUCUGCGCUGUCGGGUCUUCCAUCCUAGCGUGUGACACAGGAGGGUUUCGCUGGCAGGACCCGCCCACUGCACAUGCAGGUUCAGGUGACAGAGACCUCUGGAAAGAUGAGGCCCGUGGGAGCAGGGGGCUUCUUGUUGACACUGAAGGUCAGGCUUCAGGAAUGCCAGGGGCUCAUAAAAUCUUUUUCACUGAACAUUAUGCUGAGCAGGAUUCAUUUUACCAGUGAAAAAAUAUUUCUGACAUCCUUUGUGCUUUUUAACAAAGCCUGUGGUGUGGAUUUGCAUGAUUCUUAGAUUGCUGAGUAACCACUUCGGGAGGGUUCUUGAUUAGGGCACUAAAAAUGUUAACACAACACCCGUGGGAUGUAGAUUAAGGUCAACUUGUCCUUGUGCGUCUCUCCUAGUGUUGAUGGCAGAGUCUUAGUAUUUCAGCUGACGAAAUCUCUGCCCAUUCUCUUCCAAUGUUCCCUAAUAAGCUACAGGAGGACAGAGACAAAAGUUUGACUUCAUUAGUAACUUUUGGAAGUUGCCCAAUUUAGGAAAAAGAGUUAAUAAAUCAGGAAUUUUAUAAGAACUUUUUGUUAAAUCUGUAGUUAUUCAAAUCAGCCUCAGCAUGAUAAGACAACACUACAGGUUAUUAUAAAUAGUUGAAAAAGAAAAAUUAAAUUCCAACCAAACAAUUGAUCCUUAACUUUUUUUUUUUUUGAGA
rnacentral:lncRNA from 1 species